rnacentral:lncRNA from 1 species
UGGGUUUUGCAUAAUUAUUUCGGUGAAUUCGAGUUGAAUUCUCAAAGAUUUUGUCAAUGUUGCUGCUUGGUUGAUCUAUUUGAGAAUAUGUUGUUGGGUAGAUCUCAACAAAUUCUUAAACACGCUAUUAAUUCUUUAAUUUUAUUUUUCUUAAUCUCCGUGUCGAAAAGUUAUGUGCCAUAAAUAAUGGGACGAAGGGAGUAAUGUAUUAAUUAAUUAAU